GUACUACUCCCUCCGUCGAAAAUACUUGUCCAAGAAAUGAAUGUAUCUAGAUGUAUUUUAGUUCUAGAUACAUCCAUUUGUAUACGUUCCUACGACAAGUAUUUCCAGACGGAGGGAGUAUCUC
rfam:Triticum urartu cultivar G1812 contig435775, whole genome shotgun sequence.